rnacentral:rRNA from 1 species
ACAGCAGUAGCCGCGGGAAUACGUAGGGUGCAAGCGUUAAUCGGAAUUACUUGGCGUAAAGCGUGCGCAGGCGGUUAUGUAAGACAGAUGUGAAAUGCCCGGGCUCAACCUGGGAACUGCAUUUGUGACUGCAUGGCUAGAGUGUGUCAGAGGGGGGUAGAAUUCCACGUGUAGCAGUGAAAUGCGUAGAGAUGUGGAGGAAUACCGAUGGCGAAGGCAGCCCCCUGGGAUAACACUGACGCUCAUGCACGAAAGCGUGGGGAGCAAACAGGAUUAGAUACCCCAGUAGUCCCUGUCUCUUAUAC